rnacentral:rRNA from 1 species
UACGUAGGGUGCGAGCGUUGUCCGGAAUUAUUGGGCGUAAAGAGCUCGUAGGCGGUCUGUCGCGUCGGUCGUGAAAACUUGGGGCUUAACCCUGAGCUUGCGGUCGAUACGGGCAUGACUGGAGUUCGGUAGGGGAGACUGGAAUUCCUGGUGUAGCGGUGAAAUGCGCAGAUAUCAGGAAGAACACCGACGGCGAAGGCAGCUCGCUGGGACGGUACUGACGCUGAGGCGCGAAAGCGUGGGGAGCGAACAGG